rnacentral:rRNA from 1 species
UACAGGACGAACGCUGGCGGCGUGCUUAACACGAUGCAAGUUGAACGGUAUGACAUGGAAGCUUGCUGAAGUGUCAUAGUAGUAGCGGACGGGUGAGUAAUGCAUGAGAAGCUGCCAUUGGAGGGGGACAACAGUUGGAAACGGCUGCUAAUACCCCGUAUGCCGGAAGGUGAAAGGGAGCGAUCCGCCCGAUGAGGUGCUCAUGUCCUAGUCAGCUGGUUGGUGGGGUAACGGCCUACCAAGGCGACGACGGGUAGCCGGCCUGAGAGGGUGAACGGCCACACUGGAACUGAGAUACGGUCCAGACUCCUACGGGAGGCAGCAGUGGGGAAUAUUGGGCCAAUGGGGGGCAACCCUGACCCAGCGACGCCGCGUGGGGGAAGACGGCCUUCGGGUUGUAAACCUCUUUUGUACGGGAAGAAGGAAGUGACGGUACUGUACGAAUAAGUCCCGGCUAACUACGUGCCAGCAGCCGC